rnacentral:rRNA from 1 species
UACAGGGGGUGCAAACGUUGCUCGGAAUUAUUGGGCGUAAAGCGCGCGUAGGCGGCCACUUAAGUCGGAUGUGAAAGCCCCCGGCUCAACUGGGGAGGGUCAUUCGAUACUGAUCGACUCGAAGGCAGGAGAGGGUAGUGGAAUUCCCGGUGUAGUGGUGAAAUGGCGUAGAUAUCGGGAGGAACACCAGUGGCGAAGGCGACUACCUGGCCUGUUCUUGACGCUGAGGCGCGAAAGCUA